rnacentral:rRNA from 1 species
CCUACGGGGGGCAGCAGUGGGGAAUAUUGCACAAUGGGGGAAACCCUGAUGCAGCGACGCCGCGUGAGUGAAGAAGUAAUUCGUUAUGUAAAGCUCUAUCAGCAGGGAAGAAAAUGACGGUACCUGAGUAAGAAGCCCCGGCUAACUACGUGCCAGCAGCCGCGGUAAUACGGAGGGGGCAAGCGUUAUCCGGAUUUACUGGGUGUAAAGGGAGCGUAGACGGCAGUGCAAGUCUGGAGUGAAAGGCGGGGGCUCAACCCCCGGACUGCUCUGGAAACUGUACGGCUGGAGUGUAGUAGAGGUAAGUGGAAUGCCUGGUGUAGCGGUGAAAUGCGUAGAGAUUAGGCGGAACACCAGUGGCGAAGGCGGCUUACUGGACUGUAACUGACGUUGAGGCUCGAAAGCGUGGGGAGCAAACAGGAUUAGAUACCCUAGUAGUC